AUGACUUUUCCUGAGGUAAACAGCCCAUGCCGCUCUGAUCUUUCUUUUGAACAAAUGUCUGACAAAGAACAUCAUGUCAUAAACUCUCCGUUAAAAGAUGUAGGAAUUGGUAUGGUGUCAGGUUUUCCUCUUGACUACAUGCACCUUGUCUGCCUUGGUGUUGUACGUAAACUUCUAGAUUUAUGGUUUACAGCAGGGCCAAUGUCUUGCCGCUUGUCCAUUCGGCAAAUGCAACAAAUAUCUAGGAAACUUCUAGGCUCAAAGCCUUUCAUUCCAGUGGAGUUUGCUCGUAAACCCAGGGGGCUCUUAGAGAGGCUGAGAUGGAAAGCAACAGAGUUGCGCCAGUUUUUGUUGUACACAGGGCCUGUGUUUCUCUUUAAUGAGGUGUCUGCUCCUGUCUAUAACAACUUCAUGUUAUUAUCAGUUGCCGUUUUCAUUCUUGCCAGCCCUUCAUUGUCUGCAUCUCUUAAUGAUUUUGCAUCGAAAUUGCUGGUCUCCUUUGUAACACACUUCAGUGAGUUGUAUGGUCCUGAAUUUGUUACAUACAAUGUUCAUGGUCUCAUUCACCUUCCAGACGAUGUUAAACUUCAUGGACAUCUGGACUUAAUAUCUUCAUUUCCAUUUGAGGAUUAUUUGGGUAAGAUGAAGAAGAUGGUUAGAACUUCACACCAUCCACUUGCUCAGGUUGUUCGUCGAAUUUCUGAGAUGGAUAAAUUUACAGAGAAUGAGGAUUCACAGGGAAAGCUCAAGUUGCAAAAGGAGCACAACCAUGGACCAGUUCCAUCCUCCCUAAUGGAUUUAAAAGUAGUUCAGUUUGAGGAACUUCUUUUAAACGGUACAACAAUCAAAAUAUCAGUUGAGGGGGACAGAUGUGUAAAGAUUGGUGACCAUAUUGCUUUGAUAGAAAACAUUUUAAAGUCUCUGGGCAAGAUUUACAUUGUCUUUAGAGAAUAUGAACAGAUGGAGCCUUUUUAUGAGUAUCCUCUGAAUUCUCAGAUUUUGGGUGUAUAUGUGGUUGGCAAAAUCUCUUCACAGCUAAAAGUCAUGGAGGUGCAUGGGCACAUAAUGAAAUAUGUGAGGCUACCACACAAUGACAGUUUUGUUGCAGUACCACUUCUGCACACAAAACAAUGA
ensembl:lncRNA